CGAGAGGUGCAAGCGUUGUCCGGAUUUAUUGGGCGUAAAGCGUUUCUAAAGGCGCUUUUGUAAGUUAGCUUUCAAAGACCGAGGCUCAACCUCGGGAAGGGAGCUAAUACUGCAAGAGUUGAAAUAUUUCGGGGUUACUAGAACUAUUGGUGUAGGGGUGAAAUCCGUUGAUAUCAAUAGGAAUUCCAAGGGCGAAGGCAGGUAACUAGGAAUUUUUUGACGCUGAUGAACGAAAGCUAGGGGAGCGAAAGGGAUUAGAGACCCCUGUAGUCCUAGCCGUAAACUAUGCUCGCUACUCCGUGGAUUUUUUCACGGAGGUAAGCUAACGCGUGAAGCGAGCCGCCUGGGGAGUACGGACGCAAGUUUA
rnacentral:rRNA from 1 species